rnacentral:rRNA from 1 species
GGCUCAGGACGAACGCUGGCGGCGUGCUUCAUACAUGCAAGUCGAACGAGAAACUGACUUCGGUUAGUGGAAAGUGGCGGACGGGUGAGUAAUAUGUAGAGAAUCUGCCCUUGAGUGGGGGACAACAGAGGGAAACUUCUGCUAAUACCCCAUAUGAGCUUAGUUGAAAUACUAAUCUUGAAAACUCCGGUGCUCAAGGAUGAGUCUGCAUCUGAUUAGCUAGUUGGCGGUGUAAUGGACCACCAAGGCGACGAUCAGUAGCUGGUUUGAGAGGAUGAUCAGCCACAAUGGGACUGAGACACGGCCCAUACUCCUACGGGAGGCAGCAGUAGGGAAUUUUGCGCAAUGGGCGAAAGCCCUGACGCAGCAACGCCGCGUGAACGAUUAAGCCCUUCGGGGUGUAAAGUUCUGUCAGUAGGGACGAAACUUGACGGUACCUACAGAGGAAGCACCGGCUAACUCCGUGCCAGCCGCCGC